CCCUUAGAUGUUCUGGGCCGCACGCGCGCUACAAUGAUGAAUUCAACGAGUUUAUAACCUUGGUUGAAAAGCCUGGGUAAUCUUUUGAACUUUCGUCGUGAUGGGGCUAGACCCUUGCAAUUAUUGGUCUCCAACGAGGAAUUCCUAGUAAACGCAAGUCAUCAGCCUGCAUUGAUUACGUCCCUGCCCUUUGUACACACCGCCCGUCGCACCUACCGAUUGAAUGGUCCGGUGAAAUCUUCGGAUUGAGACUUUGUUUUCUUCACGGAAAACGCUGUUUUAAAAAGUUGAUUAAACCUUACCAUUUAGAGGAAGGUGAAGUCGUAACA
rnacentral:rRNA from 1 species